UCCUUGGUGGUCCAGUGGUAAGGACUUGGUGCUUUCACUCCAUGGCCCCGGGUUCAAACCCUGGUCAGGGAA